rnacentral:rRNA from 1 species
GACAGAGGGUGCAAACGUUGUUCGGAAUUACUGGGCGUAAAGCGCGUGUAGGCGGCUAUGUAAGUCGGGCGUGAAAUCCCACGGCUCAACCGUGGAAGUGCACCCGAAACUGCGUAGCUAGAGUCCUGGAGAGGAAGGUGGAAUGCUUGGUGUAGAGGUGAAAUUCGUAGAUAUCAAGCGGAACACCGGUGGCGAAGGCGGCCUUCUGGGACAGUGACUGACGCUGAGACGCGAAAGCGUGGGGAGCAAACAGGG